GGGGGCAUAGCUCAGCUGGCAGAGCACCGCCCUUUUAAGGCGGGUGUCGAAGGUUCGAAUCCUUCUGCCCUCAC
rnacentral:tRNA from 1 species